rnacentral:tRNA from 1 species
AAGGCUUUAAGUUAAAUAAACUAAUAGCCUUCAAAGCUAUAAAUAUAAGAAGAAAUCUUUUAAGCCUUA